CCCAUGCAAGUCGAGCGCACUCUUCGGAGUGAGCGGCGGACGGGUUAGUAACGCGUGGGAACGUGCCCUUCUCUAAGGAAUAGCCACUGGAAACGGUGAGUAAUACCUUAUACGCCCUUCGGGGGAAAGAUUUAUCGGAGAAGGAUCGGCCCGCGUUAGAUUAGAUAGUUGGUGGGGUAAUGGCCUACCAAGUCUACGAUCUAUAGCUGGUUUUAGAGGAUGAUCAGCAACACUGGGACUGAGACACGGCCCAGACUCCUACGGGAGGCAGCAGUGGGGAAUCUUGGACAAUGGGCGCAAGCCUGAUCCAGCCAUGCCGCGUGAGUGAUGAAGGCCUUAGGGUCGUAAAGCUCUUUCGCCAGAGAUGAUAAUGACAGUAUCUGGUAAAGAAACCCCGGCUAACUCCGUGCCAGCAGCCGCGGUAAUACGGAGGGGGUUAGCGUUGUUCGGAAUUACUGGGCGUAAAGCGCACGUAGGCGGAUCAGAAAGUAUAGGGUGAAAUCCCAGGGCUCAACCCUGGAACUGCCUUGUAAACUCCUGGUCUUGAGUUCGAGAGAGGUGAGUGGAAUUCCGAGUGUAGAGGUGAAAUUCGUAGAUAUUCGGAGGAACACCAGUGGCGAAGGCGGCUCACUGGCUCGAUACUGACGCUGAGGUGCGAAAGUGUGGGGAGCAAACAGGAUUAGAUACCCUGGUAGUCCACACCGU
rnacentral:rRNA from 1 species